rnacentral:rRNA from 1 species
UACGAAGGGGGCUAGCGUUGCUCGGAAUCACUGGGCGUAAAGGGUGCGUAGGCGGGUCUUUAAGUCAGGGGUGAAAUCCUGGAGCUCAACUCCAGAACUGCCUUUGAUACUGAGGAUCUCGAGUAAGGUAGGGGCAUGUGGAACUUCCGGUGGAGCGGUGAAAUGCGUAGAUAUCGGAAGGAACGCCGGUGGCGAAAGCGACGUGCUGGACCUUUUCUGACGCUGAGGCGCGAAAGCGUGGGGAGCAAACAGG